CGAGGGGCAGCGGGGUAGGAAGCUUGCUUUCUGCCGCCGGCGACCGGCGCACGGGUGAGUAACACGUAGCAACCUGGCCGUGGCAGAUGGAUAACCGGGAGAAAUCCCGCCUAAUACAACAUAAUGCCGGGAGGGGACAUCCCCUGCCGGCCAAAGGGGGCGACCCCGGUCACGGAUGGGCAUGCGGCGCAUUAGGUAGUUGGUGGGGCAACGGCCCACCAAGCCGACGAUGCGUAGGGGUUCUGAGAGGAAGGUCCCCCACAUUGGAACUGAGACACGGUCCAAACUCCUACGGGAGGCAGCAGUGAGGAAUAUUGGUCAAUGGCCGGAAGGCUGAACCAGCCAAGUCGCGUGAGGGAAUAAGGCCCUACGGGUCGUAAACCUCUUUUGCCAGGGAGCAAUGCCGUCCACGUGUGGACGGAAGGAGAGUACCUGGAGAAAAAGCAUCGGCUAACUCCGUGCCAGCAGCCGCGGUAAUACGGAGGAUGCGAGCGUUAUCCGGAUUUAUUGGGUUUAAAGGGUGCGUAGGCGGCCUGCCAAGUCAGCGGUAAAAUUGCGGGGCUCAACCCCGUACAGCCGUUGAAACUGCCGGGCUCGAGUGGGCGAGAAGUAUGCGGAAUGCGUGGUGUAGCGGUGAAAUGCAUAGAUAUCACGCAGAACCCCGAUUGCGAAGGCAGCAUACCGGCGCCCGACUGACGCUGAGGCACGAAAGCGUGGGUAUCGAACAGGAUUAGAUACCCUGGCAGUCCACGCAGUAAACGAUGAAUACUAAUUGUCCGGUCAGAAUGAUGACUGGGUGAUACAGCGAAAGCGUUAAGUAUUCCACCUGGGGAGUACGCCGGCAACGGUGAAACUCAAAGGAAUUGACGGG
rnacentral:rRNA from 1 species